UACGUAGGGUGCAAGCGUUGUCCGGAAUUAUUGGGCGUAAAGAGCUCAUAGGCGGUUUGUCGCGUCUGCUGUGAAAUCCCGAGGCUCAACCUCGGGCCUGCAGUGGGUACGGGCAGACUAGAGUGCGGUAGGGGAGAUUGGAAUUCCUGGUGUAGCGGUGGAAUGCGCAGAUAUCAGGAGGAACACCGAUGGCGAAGGCAGAUCUCUGGGCCGUAACUGACGCUGAGGAGCGAAAGCGUGGGGAGCGAACAGG
rnacentral:rRNA from 1 species